UCAGUUCGGAUUGCAGGCUGCAACUCGCCUGUAUGAAGUCGGAAUUGCUAGUAAUCGCGGAUCAGCAUGCCGCGGUGAAUACGUUCCCGGGCCUUGUACACACCGCCCGUCACACCAUGAGAGUCGGGAACACCCGAAGUCCGUAGUCUAACCGCAAGGAGGGCGCGGCCGAAGGUGGGCUUGAUAAUUGGGGUGAAGUCGUAACAAGGUAAC
rnacentral:rRNA from 1 species